AAAAAGACAAAUCCUGAAUUGCCGUGUCUAACAUUUAACUAUCCGUCUUAUAUGAAAUUCUUUUAUAAUUAGUAUUUUCAUUAUUGUUAGAUGAUAAAACAUGAUUAAUAUUUUAUACGUACUUGUUUUUUUAAUAUUUUUUAUAAAUUUUUUUGAAUAAGAUGAACGAUCAAAUGUUAGAUACGAAAUUUUUUUUUUGAACGGAGG
rfam:Oryza glaberrima chromosome 11 Oglab11_0247_13, whole genome shotgun sequence.